rnacentral:rRNA from 1 species
AGAGUUUGAUCCUGGCUCAGGAUGAACGCUGGCGGCGUGCUUAACACAUGCAAGUCGAACGGAGUGCCCUUGAUUGAGGAUUCGUCCAAAUGAUAGGGUUACUUAGUGGCGGACGGGUGAGUAACGCGUGAGUAACCUGCCUAGGAGUGGGGAAUAACACAGAGAAAUCUGUGCUAAUACCGCAUAAUGCAGUUGGGUCGCAUGGCUCUGACUGCCAAAGAUUUAUCGCUCUUAGA